UACGGGGGGAGCAAGCGUUGUUCGGAUUUACUGGGCGUAAAGGGCGCGUAGGCGGCGCAACAAGUCACGUGUGAAAUCUCCGGGCUUAACCCGGAGCGGCCAAGUGAUACUGUCGUGCUAGAGUGCGGAAGGGGCUACUGGAAUUCUCGGUGUAGCGGUGAAAUGCGUAGAUAUCGAGAGGAACACCUGCGGCGAAGGCGGGUAGCUGGGCCGACACUGACGCUGAGGCGCGAAAGCCAGGGGAGCGAACAGG
rnacentral:rRNA from 1 species